rnacentral:misc_RNA from 1 species
AACGCACGAGACCUGCGGACCUGCGGAAGGAUCAUUACAGGACUCGCAAGACUCCUACAACCCUGUGAACUUAACUAUAAGCACGUUGCUUCGGCGGGUGUCUCGGCGAGGGUUCUCCCUCCCCGGGGCGCUAAGCCCGCCGGCAGCCUACUAUACUCUGUCUCUUUGCGUUGGCAUCUCGAGUACAAACAAACAAGUUAAAACUUUCAGCAACGGAUCUCUAGAUCGGAAGAGCACACG